rnacentral:lncRNA from 1 species
AAUAGGAGACCUCCAUGGUGGGAAGACCUGGCAUCCAGCAGCAGGUGUGGCACCAGGAGAAGAAAGCUGAAAGCUCACAUCUUUAACCCAAGCACAAAGCAGAGAGCAAGUCUGUUUUCUCCUUCCAUUCCAAGCUGUGCCUUUAAGGGCUGGAGAGACAAUUCAGCAGUUAAACAUACCAGCUACCUGCAGAGGAUCUGGGUUCAAAUUCAGGCACUGGAGUUCACAACGGUAGAAAUAAUGGAGCCAGCUGACCAAAGACUGAAACCCCAGCCAAAAGAAAUCUUAUUUGUUUUUGUUUGUUUGUUUGUUUUUUGUGGGUAGUCUCACCAUGUAGCCCAGGCUAACUUCAAACUCAUUAUCUUCCUAUCAUCACUUCCAA